GAUGAAGCACCAGCUUGCUGGUGUGGAUUAGUGGCGAACGGGUGAGUAACACGUGAGUAACCUGCCCCUCACUCUGGGAUAAGCCUGGGAAACUGGGUCUAAUACUGGAUACGACCGAUCUCCGCAUGGAGUGUUGGUGGAAAGUUUUUGUGGUGGGGGAUGGACUCGCGGCCUAUCAGCUUGUUGGUGGGGUAAUGGCCUACCAAGGCGACGACGGGUAGCCGGCCUGAGAGGGCGACCGGCCACACUGGGACUGAGACACGGCCCAGACUCCUACGGGAGGCAGCAGUGGGGAAUAUUGCACAAUGGGCGAAAGCCUGAUGCAGCGACGCCGCGUGAGGGAUGACGGCCUUCGGGUUGUAAACCUCUUUCACCAGGGACGAAGCUAACGUGACGGUACCUGGAGAAGAAGCACCGGCUAACUACGUGCCAGCAGCCGCGGUAAUACGUAGGGUGCGAGCGUUGUCCGGAAUUAUUGGGCGUAAAGAGCUUGUAGGCGGUUUGUCGCGUCUGCUGUGAAAGACCGGGGCUUAACUCCGGUUCUGCAGUGGGUACGGGCAGACUAGAGUGUGGUAGGGGAGACUGGAAUUCCUGGUGUAGCGGUGAAAUGCGCAGAUAUCAGGAGGAACACCGAUGGCGAAGGCAGGUCUCUGGGCCAUUACUGACGCUGAGAAGCGAAAGCAUGGGGAGCGAACAGGAUUAGAUACCCUGGUAGUCCAUGCCGUAAACGUUGGGCGCUAGGUGUGGGACUCAUUCCACGAGUUCCGUGCCGCAGCUAACGCAUUAAGCGCCCCGCCUGGGGAGUACGGCCGCAAGGCUAAAACUCAAAGGAAUUGACGGGGGCCCGCACAAGCGGCGGAGCAUGCGGAUUAAUUCGAUGCAACGCGAAGAACCUUACCAAGGCUUGACAUACACCGGAAUCAUGCAGAGAUGUGUGCGUCUUCGGACUGGUGUACAGGUGGUGCAUGGUUGUCGUCAGCUCGUGUCGUGAGAUGUUGGGUUAAGUCCCGCAACGAGCGCAACCCUCGUUCCAUGUUGCCAGCACUUCGGGUGGGGACUCAUG
rnacentral:rRNA from 1 species